UUCUUUGAAAAGGUCUCGACGAGCUCUAGAAAAUAGAAAAUUUCAUCUAAAAGUGUUGAAAUAGUUAUAAAUGGGGGCUUGUUAGAAAGAUCUCGCUAAGAACUGUAUAAAGAUUAACGCGCAGCUAAUACGAAAAUUUGACGAGAUUUUUAAUAUUUUGCAAAGAGAAUCGUUACGAAAAUCGUUUCGCUAUCUAUAUUUCAUUUAUAAAAGUGUGGACAAUUGCAAAAAGGGCAAAUUACCAAUUACGUCUAGAGCCAUCGAUCUCUACGUUGUCUCACAAUCUUAUAACAAAAAGAUUGUUUUUCGUAUCAAGAAAAUGUACUAUGUCAGAAAUAUGAGGAUUACUGCCGAAACCUUACCGCCGGCUAUGCCAGAAACGAAAGGAAUUUUAAUGUUUACAUGGAUGGGAAAAGUAAAUGGAGCCUUCAAAGCUUACUUUACUACAAAUGUCUCUUUUGCAUUGGAGAAAGUAUACAAGCCAACUGGAGGGCGGAAAUAGUACAAGGAGAUUGUAAUUUGUAAAGAUAAUAAAUCUUUUCGAAGGAACUUCGUAACUU